AAGUCGUAACAAGGUAACCGUAGGUGAACCUGCGGUUGGAUCAUUACUUUAUUGUGUGAGGGAGGUGGUAACGCACCCACCCACAACUACACCUGUGCGCUCGACUGUAUUUCGUUCGUUUGGGGACCCUUGGGACCCUUGGGACCCGAACCGAACUGAACUUUAAACAAACCAUUAGAAUUCGUCUUAAAUAAUCGUUCGUUUAAUAUUAAACAACUUUUGACAACGGAUCUCUUGGCUCUC
rnacentral:misc_RNA from 1 species